rnacentral:misc_RNA from 1 species
GAAAUGCGAUAAGUAAUGUGAAUUGCAGAAUUCAGUGAAUCAUCGAAUCUUUGAACGCACAUUGCGCCCCCUGGUAUUCCGGGGGGCAUGCCUGUUCGAGCGUCAUUUCACCACUCAAGCCUCGCUUGGUAUUGGGCGACGCGGUCCGCCGCGCGCCUCAAAUCGACCGGCUGGGUCUUUCGUCCCCUCAGCGUUGUGGAAACUAUUCGCUAAAGGAUGCCGCGGGAGGCCACGCCGUAAAACAACCCCAUUUCUAAGGUUGACCUCGGAUCAGGUAGGGAUACCCGCUGAACUUAAGC